CCCCGCCCCGCCCCGCCCCGCCCGCCGGAGCCGUCCAGUCGCAGCCCUGCGGGAAACUCGCGGCGCCGAGACCGCCCGGGGGAGCGCGCGUGCGCGCGGGGCCCUGACUGCGGGAGCGCCGGCGGCGGAGCGGGUCCGGCCCGGGGCAGCGAGGGAACCCGCGGCCGCCCGAGCCCGCUCCCGCCGCGAGAGGCGGGCUCCAGCCGCGGUCCGCGCGCUCGCGCUGAGCCCGGCGCCCAGGUGGGAUGGAAGAAGCCUAUCAGAAUGAGAGGAUGACGUCUGCCAGUUGCGCUGCUGAAAGAUGCAGCCUACAGAAGGCCAAUUAUUCCAUCCUGUCAUGGACCAGGUAUCACUCAUCUUGCUAGUCUGGUGCCCAGCAAAGAACUGAUAUGCAAAGAGUAUCUGGUGAAGGAAUUGAACUCCCCAUGGAACCUGUCAAACCAAGAAUGUAACAGUUUCCCGGACUUUAAA